rnacentral:rRNA from 1 species
GAUGAACGCUGGCGGCGUGCCUAAUACAUGCAAGUCGAGCGAACAGAUAAGGAGCUUGCUCCUUUGAAGUUAGCGGCGGACGGGUGAGUAACACGUGGGUAACCUACCUAUAAGACUGGGAUAACUUCGGGAAACCGGAGCUAAUACCGGAUAACAUUUAGAACCGCAUGGUCCUAAAGUGAAAGAUGGUUUUGCUAUCACUUAUAGAUGGACCCGCGCCGUAUUAGCUAGUUGGUAAGGUAACGGCUUACCAAGGCGACGAUACGUAGCCGACCUGAGAGGGUGAUCGGCCACACUGGAACUGAGACACGGUCCAGACUCCUACGGGAGGCAGCAGUAGGGAAUCUUCCGCAAUGGGCGAAAGCCUGACGGAGCAACGCCGCGUGAGUGAUGAAGGGUUUCGGCUCGUAAAACUCUGUUAUUAGGGAAGAACAAAUGUGUAAGUAACUGUGCGCAUCUUGACGGUACCUAAUCAGAAAGCCACGGCUAACUACGUGCCAGCAGCCGCGGUAAUACGUAGGUGGCAAGCGUUAUCCGGAAUUAUUGGGCGUAAAGCGCGCGUAGGCGGUUUCUUAAGUCUGAUGUGAAAGCCCACGGCUCAACCGUGGAGGGUCAUUGGAAACUGGGAAACUUGAGUGCAGAAGAGGAAAGUGGAAUUCCAUGUGUAGCGGUGAAAUGCGUAGAGAUAUGGAGGAACACCAGUGGCGAAGGCGACUUUCUGGUCUGUAACUGACGCUGAUGUGCGAAAGCGUGGGGAUCAAACAGGAUUAGAUACCCUGGUAGUCCACGCCGUAAACGAUGAGUGCUAAGUGUUAGGGGGUUUCCGCCCCUUAGUGCUGCAGCUAACGCAUUAAGCACUCCGCCUGGGGAGUACGACCGCAAGGUUGAAACUCAAAGGAAUUGACGGGGACCCGCACAAGCGGUGGAGCAUGUGGUUUAAUUCGAAGCAACGCGAAGAACCUUACCAAAUCUUGACAUCCUUUGAAAACUCUAGAGAUAGAGCCUUCCCCUUCGGGGGACAAAGUGGCAGGUGGUGCAUGGUUGUCGUCAGCUCGUGUCGUGAGAUGUUGGGUUAAGUCCCGCAACGAGCGCAACCCUUAAGCUUAGUUGCCAUCAUUAAGUUGGGCACUCUAGGUUGACUGCCGGUGACAAACCGGAGGAAGGUGGGGAUGACGUCAAAUCAUCAUGCCCCUUAUGAUUUGGGCUACACACGUGCUACAAUGGACAAUACAAAGGGCAGCUAAACCGCGAGGUCAUGCAAAUCCCAUAAAGUUGUUCUCAGUUCGGAUUGUAGUCUGCAACUCGACUACAUGAAGCUGGAAUCGCUAGUAAUCGUAGAUCAGCAUGCUACGGUGAAUACGUUCCCGGGUCU